UAGUGGUUUUUAUAUUGAUGUAGGCUAGUCUAUUGAAUACUGAUUGUCUAUUGAUAGUGUAAGAGUCCAUCUAUUAGCCCAAAGACGAAACUAACAGCAUGGUCGAAGGUUUAAUGCAUGUAAGCCUUUUCUAGUGCUUUUGAAAAAAAUAACUGUUAGAAGAGUUGCACAGCUGGUUUCUUCAUCACUUCUCAGAUUAGAAAGUGCAUUGGAGCAUUGCAUCUUGUCUCAUGAAAUUCCAUAACAGUUCUCAGGGUCUGAUAUUGUGUAUUCUUACACUAUGGAAUACAGAGCAGAAUGUCAAAAAAAAGUGAGCAAGGAAGACAGACACAAAGGGUCAGCAUUUUAUAUCUAACUAAUAAACUGAAAUAUGUUUUUUAUUAUUAUUAUUAUUAUUAUUAUAUUUUAUUACAAUAAUUGUCUGACUUUCCCCAGACUUCACAGUUAUGGCAAGGAAAUCUUGCCUAAAGAUUGCCCUGCUGUUUUUGAGGCUGCGCUUAAAGACUUCAGUUCAGUCAUAGGAAAACUCCUGGAACUGUCACCGGGGAGAGUCUAACCAAGAAUGAACAGCUGCUUAUCCUCUACUACCCAGGGGCCAUCGUUCUGAGGCUUCUGCAGCAGCCUGGAGUGGUCACUAAGGAAUGGGAAGGCAUAAUUCACAACGAGGCCGGUGUUUCUAUUGCUGUGAAGAAGCACAAAACAACUGCAUCACAAAUAGCAGAAGUGCAACUGUAGGAUAUAAUGAAACUUGUUAGUUUAAAUAGGAAUUGAAAUCAUAAAGCCAUAAUAGCAAGUUAAAUAUAAUGGAAAUUCACUUGUUCUUUGGUUUCUCUUGCACUUCAGUGAGGUGUGGCCAGUGAUGUGUCAGCCAGCUCAUUUUUUGUGUUGAGCACCAGGAGCCUAAUUUAUAAACUAUCAAAUGAUUUUAAAAAGGUUUCAAUACAGGUGACAGUACACCUAUAUUUCUCUUGACAUUUUUGUAUGUCCACUUAUCGCAUUCUCAUGAUGCCCUGCGUUCUAUUUACAAUCUCCUCAGUGUGAUCUGUGGUGAUGCUCUGAGGGAGUUUGAGAUGUCAGUGAAGAAGCUUCCAGAAGCGAAAAGUGGUGGCGCGGCUGUCAUGGCACACACCAGAGUCACUGGUAAAGCACUACAGAAUGAGAACUCCUGGAGAUGCAUUUCUGGCUUCUAAGGUUGUUGACCAGGUUGCUGGUAAAACACAGUACACAUCUAAUGACUCCGAUGAUUCUUAUUUUUUAAUUCUGCAUGUCACAGCAGUGAUUAUUUCGCCCUUUCUUCAAUAUUUUUUUGUGAUCUUACAACCAUCUAGUGCACCUGCCAGCUGAGAGAUGAGCAGACAGCCUACAGCAGUUGGGCAGAGUCCUAUCCAGUGACCCUUGAGGCGCCUGCUCUGAAAAGGACAGGCAGGCAGGAGCUGUGUGAACAACAGCAUGCCCUUGAACACUUUGUUGGCCGCUGACCCUCUGAGGACAAAAUAGAUGCCUGGAUCAGGAAGCAGAGAUGGACAUCAAAUGUCCCAAAGACUUCAGUUAUUAUGAAGCAAUGGAAGCCUGUUUAGUGUCUGCACCAGGUAAUGGACAGCAGCUUGUGCAGAGGAUGGUUUUGAAUCAACGCUGGAAACAGCGGGAAUAAAUCCUUGCGCAAUAAUGCACAAUGACCAUUUCCACUGCCAGCCUCUGUCCUUAGUUUAUGGAUGAUGCAUUCAACACUCCAGCAAAAAUGAUAGAGAUGUCAUUCUCUUCAUGGCACUCAGAGACAUUGGAGACAAUGAGGAGCUAGAAAAGAGCUGAAAGUGGACUGGAUGUAAAACAACAUAUGUCAUUUAGUCCUUUAUUUCCAACACCUCCAACUUUUGCAACGUACAGAUUUUUCCUGAAAUAUUUUAGUUAAAGCUCUAGCGAAGAUAAGUUGCUGCAGCUAAAAAGUUCAUAGUUGGAUCUCUGGCAUGGGCUGGCAGUCACACACGAAUACAUCAACACACACACACACAUACCAACAAUUUAAUUCUAAUAAUGUUAGCAACAAGCGAUUCUUUUAGUGUUGCUUUUUGAUAUGAUAUUUGAUAUGUUUUAUUGCAUCUAUUUCUAUCAAACUUUCUGGAACAGUUCUUCGCCAUACUCAAACCAUGUUGUCGCAGUCAACUCCUUUAUGUGUCUAAACCGACGUAUGCUGCUGGUUACCUGGACAACCUGUUAACAGCAGAAAAGUCAUCCAUAUGGAGUGAAGUGGUCUGCUGCUUGCUCAAAACGUCAGAACGGCGUCAUAUCGCCUCAUAGCGUUCGUUUAAAAGAUACAUCUGGCUACAUAAUUCACGAUGUCCAUAAAUGUAUAUAGGGCUACAUUUUAUGAAGAGCCUAUGUUGGUUGUGGAACAACCUAUCCAUUACUAUAAAUAGAAAAUCAGUAUUUAAAUAAGCAUGGUAUGACAAAAGGUUACAUAGUGCUAUUAAAUGAAAAUGGUCAAAUUCAUUAAUUUAUCUUUAAACUUUCUUUUGAGUUUAUUUAU